GGACCUCGUGGGCGAAGCGGACGCCUUCGGCGUCGAAGACGUCGAGGACCGGGUUCCAGCGCUCGGCGAAGUCCUC
rnacentral:tRNA from 1 species